GGGCGAGGACCCGGGUAACCCUCCCUUCCACCCCAAGCUGGAUCGCCGGCCCUCGAGAGCCCGCGCCCCCAUGGCGGAUGCUCCGUUACCCGGUUGGGCCCGGACUCCCUCUUCAUGACAUCGCCUAGCGUCUCCGGAGUCGUCAUCCAGAAGAAUGGGUGGGGGGGCAAGGGGAGCUGGCCCAGGGUCUCGCUCCUCUGCCGUCAGGCCGGGGUCCUCCACCAUCUGGCCGACCCGGUCCUGACCUCUGCCUCCUGACACCCUCCGUAGGAGUCUGAGCACAGAGCCCACAGCCCACCGUCCUCUUCUCUGAAUCUCCGUGUCCAUAUGUCCCCCUGCAAUAAACUCCAGCCCCAACUGCCUGGUGCUGUGUUUGUUGUAUUGUUUGCAAGAUGUCUCCCCUUUCAAGUUUGUGAGGGGAAGGCCUUCCUGGCGUCUGAUCUUUGUCUCUCUUGCCCUGGGUGGGCUGGGUGGAUUCUCCCCUGACCUGGGUGGGGGUGAGGGGUGUGUUGGGGGGUCCUUCUCCCAUCGCCAUCAUGUAGUUUUGGGGGCUGGGAGAGGAGGCUUAUCUGCAACAGGGCAGUUGAAGGUCAGACAGCGUGAAGGACUUUUCAGCUUUCUGUAUCCCUGAGGCAGAAGACGAGUGUGUCUGGAGAGAAGCAGGGGGUCUGCCCUCCUGUUACAGCCCAGGAUUAGACGGGAGAGGUGGGAUGAUUAAUUGGGGCUUUGGGGGAUUGUGACUAGUAUGAUUACAGUGUCAGGGACAGAAGCUAAGUCACCCUGAGAUGUCAGGAUGCUGCCGGGAGGGAAUAAGGCCUUUUUCCUGGGAUCUGAGAGACCAGGGUGAACAGGGGUGGUGGGGAGCUUCUCUGCCUCCCUGGAAAUCACAGAGGAAGUUAUCAGCACUGCGCUACCUUUGAAGAUAAGUACAACCUCUCUGGUCUGCAAUGCUCCUGGUAGCAGGAGGCAGAGAAACUUGGGUCCUGUUGAAAGAGUCAAAGGUAGUUGAAUCUAUCUUCCCACCGAGAAGACUGAGGCCUGGCUCCGGGCAGGGCAUCGGACCCUAUAGGCAGGAAGUGGUUUUCCUGUCCAGCCUCCUCCCUUGAACUGGAGGCUUUCCCAGAAAGAGUGAAGCUGAGCCUCCUCCCUCAGGCUGGGACAUCUGUGGAUGAGGACCGGGCUGAGAAUGUCAGUCAUUCUGGUUACCUCCCUCCCCCACUUCUACCCUUCUGGCACCACUUCCCAGAGGGGGGGGGUCUCCAGACCGAAGGGCAACCCUGGAAGCCAGCACCCCUUUGUGGUGAGCACAGGUGAUGGUUGAAGGGCACUGACUUUGGGGUCAAAUGCCCAGGUUCAAAUUCCCACUUUUCCUCUCACUAGCUGUGUGACCUUGGGCAGGUUCCUCAACCUUUCUGGUCCUGUAAAACCAAAAUGGUAAUAGUACUGAGAGUUUCUGUGAGGAAUAAAUAAGCUAGUGAUCUGCAGCUUUUUGAACAGCAUCACAUGUUCUUUCUCUCUACCCACCUCUGUCCCUCAGGGAUUCAAAAACCACAGCCUGCAUCCCAAGGGAUAUCAAGUCAGCGCAGAGCUUCUGGAGACCGGCAAGUGAAAGUGUCCACUGUCAUGGGAAUCAGCUUAGGUUUACCUGCUGGAGGAUGAGAGACUGCACCAAGGAGAUCUAAGUUACCCAGCUGAUAUCCCGCCAACUCCUGGAGACAGAGCCACCUGCCCAACCACAGCUGAUGGUGUAUGCAUGGAUGAGCUCAUCCAAGACCAAAAGACCCAUCCAGCUGACCCAUAGAUCUGUGAGCAACAACAAAGAGAGAGCACAAGCAGAGGGAGCAACAGAGGAAGAGGGAGA